rnacentral:rRNA from 1 species
UACGUAGGGUGCAAGCGUUGUCCGGAUUUAUUGGGCGUAAAGAGCUCGUAGGCGGUCUGUCGCGUCGGAUGUGAAAACCCAGGGCUCAACCUCGGGCCUGCAGUGGGUACGGGCAGACUAGAGUGCGGUAGGGGAGAUUGGAAUUCCUGGUGUAGCGGUGGAAUGCGCAGAUAUCAGGAGGAACACCAAUGGCGAAGGCAGAUCUCUGGGCCGUAACUGACGCUGAGGAGCGAAAGCAUGGGGAGCGAACAGG